CCCUUAACUGUUAAAAGUUUCGUUUUGGUCCUUUAACUUACUUUUUGGUUUCGUUUUGGUCCCUUAACUCUUCCUCCGUCAACCACUUUGGUCCUUUAUGUUAGGAUGAAUGUAUUAGAGUUAAGGAAUCAAAAUGAAACCAAAAAAUAAGUUAAGGGACCAAAAUGAAACUUUUAAUAGUUAAGGGACCAAAAGAAAACCCAAAAAUAAGUUAUGGGACCGAAAAGAAACUUUUAAUAGUUAAGGAA
rnacentral:pre_miRNA from 1 species